rnacentral:rRNA from 1 species
GAUGAACGCUGGCGGCGUGCCUAAUACAUGCAAGUCGAACGGAGAUCAGCAAUGGUCUCAGUGGCGAACGGGUGAGUAACGCGUUGGUAACCUGCCCUGGAGAGAGGGAUAACAGGCCGAAAGGCUUGCUAAUACCGCAUGAGCAGUAGAGGAAUAGCAGCUUUACUGCAAAGGAGUAAUCCGCUCUAGGAGGGGCCUGCGACCCAUCAGCUAGUUGGUAAGGUAACGGCCUACCAAGGCGAUGACGGGUAGGGGACCUGAGAGGGUGACCCCCCACAAUGGAACUGAAACACGGUCCAUACACCUACGGGUGGCUG